AUUGAACGCUGGCGGCAUGCCUUGCACAUGCAAGUCGAACGGUAACAGGCCGCAAGGUGCUGACGAGUGGCGAACGGGUGAGUAAUGCAUCGGAACGUGCCCAGUCGUGGGGGAUAACUGCUCGAAAGAGCAGCGAAUACCGCAUACGACCUGAUGGUGGAAGCGGGGGACCGUAAGGCCUCGCGCGAUGGGAGCGGCCGAUGUCAGAUUAGCCAGGUGGUGGGGUAAAGGCCUGCCAAGGCAACGAUCUGUAGUUGGUCUGAGAGGACGACCAGCCACACUGGGACUGAGACACGGCCCAGACUCCUACGGGAGGCAGCAGUGGGGAAUUUUGGACAAUGGGCGCAAGCCUGAUCCAGCAAUGCCGCGUGCAGGAAGAAGGCCUUCGGGUUGUAAACUGCCUUUGUCAGGGAAGAAAUCUUCUGGGCUAAUACCCCGGGAGGAUGACGGUACCUGAAGAAUAAGCACCGGCUAACUACGUGCCAGCAGCCGCCGUAAGAC
rnacentral:rRNA from 1 species